CCUACGGGAGGCAGCAGUGAGGAAUUUUGCGCAAUGGGGGAAACCCUGACGCAGCAAUACCGCGUGAGUGAAGAAGGCCUUUGGGUCGUAAAGCUCUUUUAUUAGGGAAGAUAGUGACGGUACCUAAUGAAUAAGCACCGGCCAACUCCGUGCCAGCAGCCGCGGUAAU
rnacentral:rRNA from 1 species